rnacentral:rRNA from 1 species
CCUACGGGAGGCAGCAGUGGGGAAUAUUGGACAAUGGGGGCAACCCUGAUCCAGCCAUGCCGCGUGUGUGAAGAAGGCCCUCGGUUUGUAAAGCACUUUCAGUGAGGAAGAACGCCUGGUGGUUAAUACCCAUCAGGAAAGACAUCACUCACAGAAGAAGCACCGGCUAACUCCGUGCCAGCAGCCGCGGUAAUACGGAGGGUGCGAGCGUUAAUCGGAAUUACUGGGCGUAAAGCGCGCGUAGGUGGCUUGAUAAGCCGGUUGUGAAAGCCCCGGGCUCAACCUGGGAACGGCAUCCGGAACUGUCAAGCUAGAGUGCAGGAGAGGAAGGUAGAAUUCCCGGUGUAGCGGUGAAAUGCGUAGAGAUCGGGAGGAAUACCAGUGGCGAAGGCGGCCUUCUGGACUGACACUGACACUGAGGUGCGAAAGCGUGGGUAGCAAACAGGAUUAGAUACCCUAGUAGUC